GUGCCAGCAGCCGCGGUAAGACGGAGGGGGCUAGCGUUGUCCGGAAUUACUGGGCGUAAAGCGCUCGUAGGCGGUCGCAUACGGCGGUGGUGAAAGCUCCCGGCUCAACUGGGAGAGGCCCGCCGCAACGGUGUGACUCGAGGGUGGUAGAGGCAGAUGGAAUUCCUGGUGUAGCGGUGAAAUGCGUAGAGAUCAGGAGGAACACCCGUGGCGAAGGCGGUCUGCUGGGCCACACCUGACGCUGAGGAGCGAAAGCUAGGGGAGCGAACGGGAUUAGAUACCCGUGUAGUCC
rnacentral:rRNA from 1 species